rnacentral:lncRNA from 1 species
CUAGUUUUCUUUGGUUGUCUGAUUAUGUUUCGUCGACUCUGCAGAGGGCGUUGUCGCUGGAGGUAGUGCUGUUGCUGUUGAAGCAGCGCUUUGCCCAAUUGACACCAUCAAAACUAGACUUCAGGCAAGAUUAAAUCCUUGUGUGCUCAAUAAAUCCUUUUGUUUUCCUGUCCUCCACGAACUUGGAGUGUAUAUUGAUAGUUGGGAAGCUGUUGCAACAGACAAUGUUGUUUAGCUCUUAUUGCUGCAACUCUAGUGACUGGAAAUGAAUUUUCUUUUGAUGAAAAUUGGGUUGUUUGCUGCCACCCACCGAGAAGCACAUAUUUAUCUGGAAUACUGCCUUUUAUUGCCGUUUUUCUCCCCAUUUUACUUGCAUGACCAGACAUUAAAGCAAUGGUAGUUUCAGACAAAUACAACUUUGUUUGAUUACAUCUGUUUGCUUCAAGUUUCUUAACUCUUGAAGCCUUUCUAUGUCAAUAAUCUCAA